rnacentral:snoRNA from 1 species
GAGAUCAUGCUUCACAGGAUCAUUUCUGUAGUAAGCAUACUCUCGUCUAACGUCUAGGUUUCACCACCUGACUCUGUGAUGAUCGAGGUGUGGUGGCCCUUCCAGAGCGUGAAGUUCGUUCUUGUUGGCUUCUGAAGUCGAUAGAACGUUGAAGAUCGCGAAUUGUGCACCUGGAGCACUGUUCACGGAAGGGUCGCUUGCUGAGCAGA